rnacentral:sRNA from 1 species
UUGACAAGGGGGUAGAAAUCCUUUAUCUAUCUUCAGAACGGCAUGGGCAGUGGCAGUGACAGUCUCCCCACACUGCCCUGUCACUGUACCUCAAUGCUAACCUGCAGCUACGGUCCAUAGGGAUGGAGAGGGAUAAUUUACUGUCCACGGUGCAUUUACUUCUGGGCCGAC